rnacentral:rRNA from 1 species
UACGUAGGGUGCUAGCGUUGUCCGGAUUUAUUGGGCGUAAAGGGCUCGUAGGCGGCGUGUCGCGUCGGGAGUGAAAGCCCGCUGCUUAACGGCGGGUUGGCUUUCGGUACGGGCAUCGCUGGAGUGCGGCAGGGGAGACUGGAAUUCCUGGUGUAGCGGUGAAAUGCGCAGAUAUCAGGAGGAACACCGGUGGCGAAGGCGGGUCUCUGGGCCGGUACCGACGCUGAGGAGCGAAAGCGUGGGGAGCGAACAGG